CCUUGUGUAUCUACUUUACCUUACCUCAUUUUCUUCGGAAAAUCCCUUUGUCAGGUAAGUCGUGGACAAUUCUCUGAAGUGCAGCAGAACCGCAGAGCAGCACUGCUUUUGCUUCUUAGGAAGCCGGGCCGUGUUAGCCCUGAGGAUAGUGUGGUACAACUCUGUUGGAAAUUCAUGAUGGGUGCCCUUGAUCUCCUGCGGGGGUUACGCUCAUUAUGGAGGACUGGGACAAUAGAGGCAAACUGCGACAUGAGGCGCCUCGAGCUCCUCUGUCACACACCUGAUAUCUUUGCUGGGAGGCUGUGACAGCAUUUGGCAGGUUGGCAGAUGAAACACCACAUGGUCGGCUUCCCAGUUUUUCUGGGGGUGCCGUUUCUGCCCCCUCGCUGCUGCCACUGCAAGACACAGGCCCUGAAAAGCCUCUGGGCAACUGCCCACCCAUUCUAACUCCCAUGCAAAAGCUGGCCCAAGAAGCUAAACGACAUGGGGAAUUAGUUGCUUGCCCUGUUUUGCAUCAACAAGAGACCUGCUUUUCAAGUUUGCAAUACUCUGUUUAAAAAGUUAAGGCUGUCAAGGAACAUGGACUUAAAAGCACUUUUGUAAUUGGCAUUAUUUAGGGUAUUGGUUACAAACUGUUGCUUCAAUUGUGGUCUCUUUUGCCCUUCAACUAAAUGUUUCUGAAUUUGUAGAUCAGCCAAUUGUCUUGCCCUAUGUCUCCUCUAAGCGCGUGCUGUUACUCGUGAAAAUCAAGGGUUUGGCUCUACUGUGGUGGCUGCUGCCACUCUCCUGGAGGACGAAUGAAUGCCCAAGCCUCGCCUUAGCUGUUGACAACCUUUCCUUUUCAGGUUUUAGCUCCUCUAUUCGAUGCUUUAUGGGGUCGCACGGAUCCCGCUGACGCGACCUCUCCUCUGCAGCAGGCCCUUCGAAGUGCUGCUCACACGCUCACCUCACUGCAGCAGGAGCCCAGCAGUCCUUUCCAAGAUCCUUUUCUAUGAGAUCGCUGCUAAUGGGUCUACGACAAGACAAAUCCGGCUGGUUGGUUUACAGUGGUAAAUUCUAAUUGCACAGGAAUGGACGCAGGACUCCUUCUCCCCAGUGACAUCAUGUGGUCAAGGCCUCGUGUAUGGAGAGAAGCCAGACACCAACUCCACGGGAUGGUGGCACCUGUAACCCCCCAGGGCCGC